rfam:Ictidomys tridecemlineatus contig043607, whole genome shotgun sequence.
GUGCGUGCUGAAGGCCUGUUUCCUAGGCUACAAACGAGGGACUAGUUCCUUACCUUUCCGCCUAGGGGAAAGUCCCCGGACCUCCGGCAGAGAGUGCCACGUGCGCUCGCACGUAGACCUUCCCGCCAGUCACUGGCUUAUCCGCCAAGAAGCGAUCCCGCCGCGUGCGACGGGGGAGCUGAGCGGCGUGUGGCGUGGGCGUCGUCCGUCAUCUCUCCUAGUAACGCAGGCAGUGCGUGCUUUCGCGCACCAACCGCACGGGGCUCAUUCUCAGCGCGGCU